AUUGAACGCUGGCGGCAGGCCUAACACAUGCAAGUCGAGCGGAUGAAGGGAGCUUGCUCCUGGAUUCAGCGGCGGACGGGUGAGUAAUGCCUAGGAAUCUGCCUGGUAGUGGGGGAUAACGUCCGGAAACGGGCGCUAAUACCGCAUACGUCCUGAGGGAGAAAGUGGGGGAUCUUCGGACCUCACGCUAUCAGAUGAGCCUAGGUCGGAUUAGCUAGUUGGUGGGGUAAAGGCCUACCAAGGCGACGAUCCGUAACUGGUCUGAGAGGAUGAUCAGUCACACUGCAACUGAGACACGGUCCAGACUCCUACGGGAGGCAGCAGUGGGGAAUAUUGGACAAUGGGCGAAAGCCUGAUCCAGCCAUGCCGCGUGUGUGAAGAAGGUCUUCGGAUUGUAAAGCACUUUAAGUUGGGAGGAAGGGCAGUAAGUUAAUACCUUGCUGUUUUGACGUUACCAACAGAAUAAGCACCGGCUAACUUCGUG
rnacentral:rRNA from 1 species